UACAGAGGUCCCGAGCGUUGUUCGGAUUCACUGGGCGUAAAGGGUGCGUAGGCGGUCGGGUAAGUCUGUUGUGAAAUCUCCGAGCUUAACUCGGAAACUGCAGUGGAUACUAUCCGGCUCGAGGAAUGGAGGGGAGACUGGAAUACUUGGUGUAGCAGUGAAAUGCGUAGAUAUCAUUUGGAACGCCAACGGCGAAAGCAGGCAGCUGGGGGUGCACCGACGCUGAGACACGAAAGCCAGGGGAGCGAACGGG
rnacentral:rRNA from 1 species